rnacentral:rRNA from 1 species
CUAGCGUUGUCCGGAAUCAUUGGGCGUAAAGCGCGUGUAGGCGGUCCGGUAAGUCCGCUGUGAAAGUCGGGGGCUCAACCCUCGAAAGCCGGUGGAAACUGUCGGGCUAGAGUGCGGAAGAGGCGAGUGGAAUUCCUGGUGUAGCGGUGAAAUGCGCAGAUAUCAGGAGGAACACCAAUUGCGAAGGCAGCUCGCUGGGACGUUACUGACGCUGAGACGCGAAAGCGUGGGGAGCGAACAGG